ACCGGAGAAGGAAGUCCUUCCGGGUCGUGCUGAAGGGUUUCUGUGUGCCUUUGCCGAGGCAUGUGAGUUUUCUUCAAUGUUUUCAAACUCUGGAGGAUGGCCCUUAACAAAUCUAUGCAUCCAAGAAACCGAUAUAAAGACAAGCCACCAGAUUUUACAUACUUGGCAUCAAAAUAUACAGAGUUCCAGCAGCACGUUCAUACAAGCUUGACUGGGAAAGUGAGGCUUACAAGCAGAGAUUGAAACAUGUGGACCCAGUACAGAAAGUAGUGCAAUGUUGGUCUGAGGCAAUGGAAGGCCUUCUACGGGACUACUUAGAGUCAGUGGACGAGUCCAUGUUCAACCUAAAUGAGUAUGCUACUGCCAUUACGGACUUUAUUAGUAAGUGUGUAGAGGAUGGCGUGCCGAAGAAGUUAAUCUGAAUGUUCCCAAUCCAUAAACCAUGGAUGAAUCAGGAGAUCCGCUACCUACUGAAGUCCAGGUCUGAGGUGUACAAGUCAGGCAACCCUGACCUAUACAGGAGAUCCAGGUAUAACCUUUAUAAGGACAUCCGAGAUGCCAAGAGGCAGUACAAAACUAAACUUGAGACCCAGACCAACCACACAGACACCCAUCAUUUGUGGCAAAGCUUACAUGACAUAACAGGCUAUAAAGUGAAGUUGAACAGAAUCGCAAGCAACAGUACAUCCCUAUCCAGUGAGCUCAAUGCAUUCUCUUGCUUUGAACAGAAGGUUGGUGAAAUGAUGUCACCUGUCCCAACAGCCUCAGAUGCACCUGUACCUGUGGUCACUGCCACAGGCAUUACAUCGUCCUUCUUGAGAGUGAGCCCCUAGAAGGCGACUGGCCCAGAUGGCAUCCCCGGCCGUGCACUCCGAUCCUGUGUGGACCAGCUGGUGGUAGUAUACGCAGACACCUUUGUCCUCUCCUUACUAUGAUCUGAAGUCCCCACCUGCUUCAAGAAGAUCACCAUCAUCCCACUGCCCAAGAAAAGUCAUCCUGUAUGCCUCAAUGACUAUUGUCUGGUGGCUGUGACCUCCAUAAUUAUGAAGUGCUUCAGGAGGUUGGUCAUGGCUUACAUCAACUCUAGCCUACCAAAUUGCCUUGAUCCUUUGCAGUUUGCCUACUGGCGCAGCAGGUCCACACCAGAUUCCAUCUCCCUGGCCCUAUGCUCAUCUGGAUAACAAGGAUAUCUGUUUCAGGCUCUUGCUUAGUGACUGCAGCUCUGCCUUCAACACCAUAAUUCCAAACGGUCUCAUCUCCUCUUUCUGUAACUGGAUCCUCAACCUCCUGACCCAUAGGCAACAACACUUGCUCCACCAAAAUCCUCAACACGGGCGUGUACAAGGCUGUGUACUCAGUCCCUUACUAUACUCAUUAUACAUUUAACUACGUUGCUAAAUUCCUCCCCACUUCAUUUACAAGUUUGUUGACAGCACCACCGUUUUAGGUCAGAUCUCAAACAACACGGAGACAGACUAUGGGAAAGAGAUUGAGUGCCUAGGGGCAUGGUGUAAAGACAACAAUCUCUCCGUCAACGUCAGCAAACCGUUGACUUGAAGUGGGGUGGAAGGCACACCCCUAUCUGCAUCAAUGGUACUGAGGUGGAAAUGGUAGAGAACAUCAAGUUCCAACAAGUGAUGAUCACCAACAACCUGUCCACCCAUGUCGACGCGAUGGUCAAGAAAGCUCAACAAUUUCUCUACUUCCUUAGGAGGCUAGAGAAACUCAGCAUGUCAACAAGGACUCACCAAUUUUUAGACGCACCAUAGAAAGCAUCCUAUGUCCAGAUGUAGGAACUGCAGAGAGUUGUGAGCCCAGUCUAUCACAUGAGCCAAGCUUCCAUCCAUUGACUCCAUCUAUUCCUGCUGCCCUGGGAAAACAAGUAACGUAAUCAAAGACCCCUCCCACCCCGUUUAUACUCUCUUUCACCUUCUUAUGUCAGGCAGCAGAUAUAAAAGUUUGAAUACACGUAUGAACAGAUUCAAGAACAGCUUCUUCCUCGCUGUUAUCAGACUUUUGAAUGGGCCUGUUAAAUGUGAAGUCUGAUCUCUCUCUCCCCACCUUCUCUGCGGCUGCAACACUGUAUUUUGCACUCUGUUCUGCUACUCUGAUGCACUUUGUAUGGUACAGUCUGCCUGUAUAGCACACAAAACAACAUGUUUCACUGUAUCUCGGUACAUACUCCAACAAUAAAUCAAUCAAUUCCCAGUAAAAUCCACACUGAUUAUUUGUGGCAUAGGGCUUUGAGUAGGCACAGGAGCUUUGACUGGCUGAGCAAUCUUCAGGGCCAGACUUAAUGUGCCCAUCAUAAAUGGGGGAAAUUACUUUCACUUAGCAGUGUGCUUAAGUUGUAAAACAUCCAGGAUUGUAAACUUCUGUGGAAUCUAUUUAUAGAGAAGUAUUAAUUAAUUUGCGGGACAAUAUGGAGAUUAAGAAAUGCAGCC